rnacentral:rRNA from 1 species
GCUGAACGCUGGCGGCGUGCCUAAUACAUGCAAGUCGAGCGAACGGACGAGAAGCUUGCUUUUCUGAUGUUAGCGGCGGACGGGUGUGUAACCCGUGGAUAACCUACCUAUAAGACUGGGAUAACUUCGGGAAACCGGAGCUAAUACCGGAUAAUAUUUUGAACCGCAUGGUUCAAAAGUGAAAGCCGGUCUUGCUGUCACUUAUAGAUGGAUCCGCGCUGCAUUAGCUAGUUGGUAAGGUAACGGCUUACCAAGGCAACGAUGCAUAGCCGACCUGAGAGGGGGAGCGGCCACACGGGAACUGAGACACGGUCCAGACUCCUACGGGAGGCAGCAGUAGGGAAUCUUCCGCAAUGGGCGAAAGCCUGACGGAGCAACGCCGCGUGAGUGAUGAAGGUCUUCGGAUCGUAAAACUCUGUUAUUGGGGAAGAACAUAUGUGUAAGUAACUGUGCACAUCUUGACGGUACCUAAUCAGAAAGCCACGGCUAACUACGUG